AUUGAACGCUGGCGGCAGGCCUAACACAUGCAAGUCGAGCGAGCGGCGGACGGGUGAGUAAUGUAUGGGGACUGCCCGAUAGAGGGGGAUAACUACUGGAAACGGUGGCUAAUACCGCAUACUAUCGGAAAACCCAUAUGGGAUUAGCUAGUAGGUAAGGUAAUGGCUUACCUAGGCGAAGAUCCCUAGCUGGUCUGAGAGGAUGAUCAGCCACACUGGGACUGAGCUACGGCCCAGCCUCCUACGGAGGCAGCAGUGUGGAAUAUUGCACAAUGGGCGCAAGCCGGAUGCAGCCAUGCCGCGUGUAUGAAGAAGGCCCUAGGGUUGUAAAGUAUUUUCAGUCGGGAGGCGUUACCGACAGAAGAAGCACCGGCUAACUCCGUGCCAGCAGCCGCGGUAAUAC
rnacentral:rRNA from 1 species